UCCGUAGGUGAACCUGCGGAAGGAUCAUUAAAGUAGGGGCUCCGGCCCCGAAAAGAUGCAACCCUUGCCUUUUUUUUAGCGUCUAUCCGUUUCCUCGGCAGCUCCGCCUGCCAGCGAGGACCCCCGAAAACCUUUUGCAAUCCCGUAAAAAUUUCAGUAAUAUAAAAUCGUUAAAACUUUCAACAAUGGAUCUCUUGGCUCUGGCAUCGAUGAAGAACGCAGCGAAAUGCGAUAAGUAGUGUGAAUUGCAGAAUUCAGUGAAUCAUCGAAUCUUUGAACGCACAUUGCGCCCUUUGGUAUUCCUUAGGGCAUGCCUGUUCGAGCGUCGUUUCAAAAUUCAAGCUCAGCUUGGUGAUGGGCGUCUGUCCCGCCUCCGCGCGUGGACUCGCCUCAAAAGCAGUUGGCAGCUCCCCCUCCGGCACUGAACGCAGCAGAUUUGCGUGACGCGGCGGCAGGAGGGGCUUACCAGUAAGCAAAACCACCCCAGAUUGACCUCGGAUCAGGUAGGGAUACCCGCUGAACUUAAGCAUAUCAAUAAGCGGAGGA
rnacentral:rRNA from 1 species